CACGAUUUAAAGGUAUGGGAAGCAGAAGAAGGAGCAAUGCCAAAACUUACUUUCUUGAGUAUCUCUGGGUGCCCCAAUUUGGAGAAGCUUCCAGAUGGUUUGAGAUCCAUCUCCACUUUUCGAAACAUGUCUAUCUGGAAUAUGCCAAGAGAAUUCAUGGAGAGAGUAAAUGAAGAAGAUUAUGGGCCAUUUGUCAAGAAGGACAUUGAUAUGGAUAGUGUCUACAAAGAAUAAGCAGUGGUCGAUAAAAGAGGGUUGAAGCAAAGAUGAUAACAAAAGUUUGAUUCCUAGUGAAGGCUCUCUACACUUGCUUAUUCGCAUUUAUUGACUCAAUUGAUACUCCAUAAAACUUUCUUGAUUUUGUUUAUGUACUCUCAUUUUAAUAAUAAGGCUCUCCAGCGCACCUCCCGACUCACCACGACCCACCUACAUCAGCUCCAACACAUCCGCUCUAUUUUGUGUCUUGUUAUCGAGUCGGUUAUUUAUUUCCAUCCGGGUUUUCUUUGUGGUUCUUUCCCGGAUCAGAUUACGAGAGUCGAACCACAUAGGAUUAGGUUUGUUUUUCCAUUAUAAAAGAGUCUUGUUGUUUCCAUUAUUUCAAUUGAGCAAUAACAGCUUAUCUUUUUAAAACUCUAAACUCUCUCUUAUU